CUUCCCCCUGUCAGCGGGUCUCCACUGAAUCAUCGGCAGGAGUCCCGGAUGAUCCCCCAGUCGCGCAGCCCCUCCCCCGCUCCUUCCCAACCCGCGCUGCCGCAGCCAUCGCAGACUCUAGGGGAGGGAGCGAUGUUCUCUCCUACCAUUCCAGCACCUCCGAAGGUGUAAGCAAGCAUACCCCAAUGCUCCAGCAAGCUGGACCCUGGACACAACUGAGCCACAAGCAGAGCAUUGAAGAAAACACACCCCAGGCCAAGGAUUCAAUAAUUUGGUACAAACGCUUAGGCUGAUAAACUGGAGAAGGUGACUAUGGCAGCACAGAUCCAGGGCACCAGAAGGCAGACUGCACAGAGACCUGUGAGGGCUCUUUAUGGAUCCUGAUGGAACCAUAAGGGACACUAUUGUAUCAAUGUCAAUGCCUCUGCUGACGACUACCAAUACAGAAUGGGAAUCCAUGUCGACAUUCUUCCUUCAAGAGUUUUGGAACUCACCCCUAACUUUUCAUGGAAAUGGCCUGCUACUUGUUCUGUGACCUACUGAUGAUAUAUUUUACUUUGAAGCACAGCCAGGACCAGAGAGAGAGAGAGAGAGAA
rnacentral:lncRNA from 1 species